rnacentral:rRNA from 1 species
GGGCCCGCACAAGCGGUGGAGUAUGUGGUUUAAUUCGAUGCAACGCGAAGAACCUUACCAGGGUUUGACAUCCUGCGAAUCUCUUGGAAACAGGAGAGUGCCUUCGGGAACGCAGUGACAGGUGGUGCAUGGCUGUCGUCAGCUCGUGUCGUGAGAUGUUGGGUUAAGUCCCGCAACGAGCGCAACCCACGUCUUUAGUUGCCAGCAUUUAGUUGGGCACUCUAGAGAGACUGCCGGUGAUAAGCGGGAGGAAGGUGUGGAUGACGUCAAGUCCUCAUGGCCCUUACGGGUUGGGCUACACACGUGCUACAAUGGUAGUGACAAUGGGUUAAUCCCCAAAAACUAUCUCAGUUCGGAUUGUCGUCUGCAACUCGACGGCAUGAAGUCGGAAUCGCUAGUAAUCG